AUUUGGUCCAAGGAAAGUUUAUACUCUUUUUGUAAUACUGUGAUGGUCUCAUGUCCUUGGUAAGUUAAACUUUGGUUUUGUACUACCUGUGUUCUGCUGAACUGAUGAAUCACAGAGAACCAAGCUCUCCGUUCUACAGCUCCACUGGACAGCUCUGCAUCUGUUCACGGCACCCCAUAAUUCACAGGAGAACCAGUAGCCUGUUGUCCAUCUGCUGAAUUAAUGGACUUAUCAAAACUCUUUUGGGGGGGGGGAAAGAUUAAACUCCAGCCUUGUACAGGUCUUUUCUAUUUUUUUUUCUUCUUCGUUUGUUUAUUUUGUUAUUUGCAAAUUUGUACAAACACUUUAAAUGGUUCUAAUUUCCAUAUAAAUGAUUUUUGAUGUUACUGUUGGGACUUGAGAUCAUUUUUGGAAUAGAUACUGAACUGUAAUGUUUUCUUAAAACUCGAGUCUACCUUUGUUACAUGGUCUGCUUGUAAAUUUGUGGAAUCUCAGACAUUUGAAGCAGCGUCCGUGAUUUUCCUUUUGUAUUUCUAACUGGACUAGUACUAAUUUUAUAUAUGCUUCACUUGUUUGUAUACUUGGGGAUGCUCCUUGGUGAUGUUUUCUGACUAAUCUUCAAAUCCUUGUAAUUAGUACUUGCACACCCAACAUUUCUGGCCUUGCCUUAGCAGGAGAGUGAUGUAUAGUUACGGACAUUUUGCGUUUCACAUUGAGAACUUGAUUUGUUUUUGUGUAUGUGUUUUACAGACGUCUGCUUCUGCUGUCCUUGUGAACUAGGCAUCCCUGCCCGGCAUUGAAUCUUCUGAUCAGUGCCUUUAUGCGCUUUGUUUCAAGUACUCCUGGGGGUAGGCUGCAAAGUAUUUGGAGAUCAGAAGGGGUGACUCACCUCCAAAACAGUGCUCCUUUCUCAAGCUCGAGUUUUGAUCAACUUAACCUUUUUGAGUUGAACUUCAGCAAAAGUUUUCCCUCGUAACACUGUGCUCUUCCUGGUCUAGGCAGAAGUUGGCUUUGUACUUCUGGAGAAUUAUGUCCAUACUCACUCUUCAACCCUCUUCCCCUUCUGCCCUGCAGAUCGCUUGGUGCACUGUGGAAAGUGAGGUUGAACGGGGGAAUUUUUAAAUGGGACUUGAGUGAUUUUUAAAGUGCUUGGUGUUCAUGAGUGCAGGUGGCUACCAGACAGACUGGCACUUGCUUAAAAAUUCGGGCCCUAAAUUUGAAAACCGACAGGCGAGCAGUAAGUUAUACCUUUGAAUCUAUUUAGAAAGCCAUCGCUUUAAGAAUUGGAGAGUUUCUUUCCCCUUUAGCAACCCAAACUAUAAUUCUGGUCAUUAUUAUGUGACCUCUGGUAAUUCUUUUUCUGUACGAAUACUGACUUUCUGGAGUAAUGAGUAUAUCAGUUAUUGUACAUGAUUGCUUUGUGAAAUGUGCAAAUGAUAUCACCUAUGCAGCCUUGUUUGAUUUAUUUCCUCUGGUUUGUACUGUUAUUAAAAGCAUAUUGUAUUAUAGAGCUAUUCAGAUAUUUUAAAUAUAAAGUAUUGUUUCCGUAAUAUAGACGUAUGGAGUAUAUUUAGGUGAUAGAUGUGUUACUUGGAAAGGUCUGCUUUGAAAAACUGACUAAGUCUAAAUUAAAAUCCCAGUGAGCAGUAAAUCAGUGGGACGUCCCAAGAAGGAGGAGAAGGACACUCAAAAUGGAAACAGUUCCCCCAAAGUAUAUGAUUUGGACUUAAUUCAGCUGCUGGAUAUGUUACCAAUCUCCCCACCCCACUCCUCCCCUCUCCCCAGCUGAGUGAUUACCGAGUAAUCGUUCAGUAAAAGACGCAGUGUGGUUUAUACAGACAAAACAGCCUAGCAUUACUCUUGGCCUCCUCCCUGAGGAGGGUGGCAGCCUGGUGGCCUGGCGACGUUCAUCCCAUCCGGACGCAGACAGACCCGCCUGCCCUUGGCCAGUCGCGUUUAGCACUCGUGCAGAUCCUGCGUUCCCGCUCCCAUACAAUGAAAAGUGCCUGAUGAUGCUGGUGUACUUACAGACACAAGAACAAUCUUUGCUAUUAUUGUAUAAAGCCAUAAAUGUACAUAAAUCAUGUUUAAAUGGUUUGGUGUCAUUCUUUUUUAGUUGUGCAAAGUAAGCUCUUUAUUAGGUUCUUUUUUUUUUUU
ensembl:lncRNA